rnacentral:lncRNA from 1 species
CCGGCUUUUUAGCUCUUGUCCGGUCUACCUCCGUUUUAAGCGCCCGUUAUUCCUCCAGAGUCUCCGGUAUUUACUUUGUUUUCUCGCUUGUGUCGGCAGUCGUGGCCAAAGGAGGAUUCAGACGAUUUUCCGAACUUUCUGGUUGGUUUCUACUGUCCGAUAUUGUAGCACGCUAACUUUGUUUGGGCUCCUGAACGACACGGGGGAGCAGCGUCUGCCUCACAACCAAUCAGGUUAGAGGAGGUGGAGAACGGCUUUGUUUACAGUCAGAAAGAGUGGGUUGACUACACAGACAUAAGAGAACACAGAGAUAUCGUUAUAUUACCAAAUGUCAUCAAUAACUAAUAACUAUUGACUGAUAUUCAAAGCCUUUUUGUAUAUACGCCACAAAGAAAAGAUGCUUCUUUAACAGAUUCCUGCCUACCUCACCUUUAAGUGUCUGUUUCGAGUUACCUGUGUUUUGUCUGUAUGAGCAGAAAUAGCACAUACAUGCACUGUUGUCCUGACUGGACUUGUCACCUUUUUUAUACUUUUUUUUCAGUUUGAUCUGAGGAGUCGUUUCUGCUUUUUUUUUUUUUAUUUGUUCAAGAAUUUCAGAGAUUAAAAAAAAAGUCAAGAUCACCAAGAAGGAGCAUUUGCAUUAAAAAUCUCUUGAUUAUUAUCUUUAUUAUUAUUAUGGUCCCCAGAUGAAAAGGGAGGGGCGGCUCACAGCCUGUUAACACUCAUGUCCUCUUAAUGUACUUAACACCGUAAACACCAGGAAAUUGAAACCGUGUCACAUACGAGCUUUCAGCUUCAAUCCAGCUUCACUCUGAUCGAUAAUCUCAUCCACCGAGCAGCAGGCGAUCAUCUUCGGUCCCCCCGGCCGGCGCUCAGAUGUGCUCGCGCAUGCUGAUCAAUCCAUUCAGAUACUAAUCCUGUCAGACGUGUGUCUAAAAUCAGGCAUGAGUCUGUUUGUGGAUUUGCAUGAGCGUAUCAGAGAUGAGAUGUUUGCGUGUUCAUCCUUCUGUUCGUGUCUAUGUGUGUGUGUUCAUGUGUGUGUUAACGAAGGGCAGCUGUGUGCAGGGAGGUAAUCAGACCCACCCGUCCAUUUGCAUCAGUCUAAAUGAAUUAGUCUCUGGAUCUGUUAAAAGCCACUUCAGACAUUCGGGGUAAUUGCAGCGCUGCAUUGACAUGAGGCUUCCUCAUUGAUUUCUGGAGUUUUGGUGAAAUGAGAAUCUUUCAAGCUCAGUCACACACUCUCUUACACACUUUUGCCUCUAAAAGGUGGUUUAAUCUGCUUUAUUUCAGCCUGAGGGGAGACGACCAAAACAACCAGACACCGAAACUUUCAUCUGUUUGAAAAAAUGUGACAAUAAGGACACAAAUGUGCAGGAAUGGAAAGUUAGGAAAGUCAGAAAAAAGUUGAUCUGUUUACUGUGAGCCGCUUCAGUUACCAAUUAAAGUGCAGUUCGCUUUGUGGUGCCAAUUAUCGGUUUAAGAGUUGAUUGUUGUCUCCAGAUUAAAAUGAUUGAUUUUUUUUUAAUAGGAUCUGAGGUGAAUCAAAGAGACGUGUUUAAGGCUGGUUUUCAGGAGCCUCUAUCAGAGCUAUCAUGUUUUUGUGUCUCCUGGAUUAAAGUGUUUUCUCCACCUGUUCCCCAAGGCUGGGACCAGAAUAACAGAGGCAAAGUAAAAAAUUCAACUUUAUUGACUUAAUUUCGUUUUUUUAAUCUUGAAAUUUCAGCUUUAAUCACCUUCCUGUAAUCAUUUUGUUUCUCUUCAUGUAGUCCUAACCCUCUUUUGUAGUUUACAUUUGCUGCUCCUGGGUCCCUGCAGCCAUGCUAACAGCUAGUGCGGAUCUGUAGCUAACUUCCUAAAGCCUGGUUUAUGCUUCAGCGUCGUACCUGCGCCAUAGUAACUGAUGCAGUCGCGAGCACGUUAUACUUCUACGCUGGAGCCUCCAUGUUACAAAAUCGACUCGUGUGCACUUCGUAACAAGCUAAUUAACUCAAUCAGCGCAAUUAGCUCAGUGUUGUGUUACAAUAUAACACAAGAAGGAGAGAAAACCAUAGACCGUUUAUAGAUUUGACGCUGUCUGCCUCGUUGCUUGGUGAAGCCACCACAAGAACAGCGCCCUCUGGUGACGGGCUGCAGUAUAGGUCAUAAAUCCCACCUCCUCCAGCAAUCCCUAUGGAGCUGUGGACAAACUUUAGAAAUUUAUUAGACAGAAUGUAAAUGUUUCUCCCCCCUGGUUGUGAUGUUGACAUGUUGUUACUGUCAGACUGGUUUGUGCUCAAGUCCUCUUUUUUCUGUUCAACUCCAUUUUGAAAAGUUAUUAGGGGGUUCAUGUUUUCCAAGUUGUUGUACUCCCUCAGCUGUAAGUGUGAAUAUGACGCAGGAAAAGCUAAGAAAGCGUCAUGAUGCUGCGUGCAAAUCUGUGCAGGAAGAUAAAAACACGCCAUUUUCCCCUCAGUGUGUGUCUGUGCUGGAUAUAUAAUUUGGACUCCAGCUGCAGGUUCCUCGUGUCUCAGAGUUUAUCACUCAUAACAACUCUGACAAACGCUGAUCCUGACUGUCCGCAUCCAGGGUUUUAAUUUGUGGUUUUGGCCUCGGGGGAGAUAGGCGGCGAGGAUACAGAUUACUGCUUAAACUGGAGGUGCGGGUGUCAGGACUUUUCUUCCUGUGCGGGCGACGAACUGCUGACAGAGGCAGCGUUCGCCUGGCUGAGCCAAACACUCGAAUAAAGACGAGAAGCAAGAGGACACACACACACUGAAGCGUGGGAGAGAGAGAGCUGUAGACGGAGAAAAGUGAGGGAUAAUAGAGUGAAGGAGAGAAAGUGAGGACAGCAGCAUCCAUCUCAUGGACAGUAGAUUUGACAUUUUCAUUGUUUCCUCCUGACUCACCGAUUAAAAAGGGACGUGAGGACUUUUUCUUUCUCACUCUGCAAACUUUCUUCUGCUGCAUUUGUUUUAAAGAUAAUACAAAUAUUUUAUUUUUCAUCCAAAAAAAAAACAAUAAAAGAAACAUUCAAUUACUUUUUAAUGAGCUUUAACACUCUGUCAAAGCAUGUGUCAGUUGUUACACAUAACGAAGACGAGUUCAGCUUUAACAGGCAGAGGAGGCGGUUAAAAUCGUGCUUUUCCUGUUUACUGUGACUCGAAGAUGAUGCCUUUUAAAAUAGCAUUAAAGCUCCUGUAAGGAGUUUUUUCACAUUCAGGAAAACUCUUAAAUUCAUCAAGACCAUCUGUGAUGAAACUGACUGUUUUCAUUUGGGAGUUUUUUUAAGUCUGAGGGUCGAGGUGUCAUCCGAGCAAAUACUCUUUGACCACAGAGACACAAGAAUGGACGGAAAACAAAAGUUCCUCACUGGAGCUUUAACAUCAAACAUGUAUGGUCCAAUUUUCUGAUCGCUAGUCUCCUUGAUCCAAGUCCAUUAUAUCCACAUAACCCUCUGAUUAGGCUGCAUACUCCUGUUGUUUGUGUAAGAGCAGGGAUUAAAUCUGUCGUCGUUUCUAAGAAGAACAACUUCAGUUCAGAUGAUCCAGAUGGGAAUAAAGGAACUUUUUAGAGAUCCAGAUUAUUCAACUCAGCAAGAACCGGCUCUUUCAGCACCAGUAUGUCAUUCACGUACAAGAUCUGGUUUAUAGAGCUGACCGUCAUUAGACUCCCUCAGCUCACUGUAGCUGCUGUCUGCACCCCCAGUGAUGAUGCAUCAACGGCAGCAUCCAAGAGAACCAGAUUUAAUGGAAGUUUUGAGUUUUUGAUCGUUGUUCUUUUAGACCAGCUUCCAUGUUAACAGUCAAAAGAAAACAGAUGUGUCUCCAGCUCAGAGGAUAACACAACUACAGUUUGUAAAACGUGCUACAAGUAUUUCAAAGGGAGGAAAAAAAGUCCCCAAACAAUCUUAAAAGUCAAAUCAAAUUUUAUGCAAUUUAUAUUUUAUUCGUAUAGCGCCAAAUCACACCAGUCGUUAUCCCAACACGUUUCCUAAAGAAGAGCAGGUCUAGACCACGCUCAUUGUUGGAUGAGUCGCCAAUACAGUGAAGAUAAAUCUGGCUAAAGUAGAGCUAUGUCGAACGGGCAUCUUAGCAUCUCUGUCCUUUUCCUACACCAAACAUGUGCAUGAACUACAACUUUUAAAAUACAAAGGGUUAAGAAAAAAUAUACGACAUCUUCUCAGUUAUUGAAAUUUGUGAUGUGCAUCUUCUGGAGAUGAUUUUGAUUUCUUUCGAUGUUGGUUUAAUUGUCAUUUUCUCCAUAAGAAGUCACAAUAAACUGAUUUGAUUCCUCGGCAAGAUUAAGUGAUAUGUUGUUGAAAAGUUUAAUCCCUUAGCAAAAGCAGUAAUCCCAAAUUAAAGUGCAUGUGGAAUAAGGUAAGAAUGAGUCUGACGAGCUUCAAUCUGAGAGUUAAAACACAUUUCUAAAAGUAUAAUACCGAACAAAAAGGCUUGUUGUAUCUGCCUUUCCUCUCAGAUCCAGACUGAUUAAUCAAAUAUGAAACCCGGUGUUUCUCUAUCAAAUCUAACGAGUUGUUUUCUGCGACCACCGGCCUCCCUCUUUCUCCUGUUCGCCUGCUGUAAUGAGAACAGGAUGCUGCGGUGAUUAAUCUUAUCUUCUUUUUCUCCAAACUAUCCCCAACAAAAAAGCAACUUCCAACAAUGAUGGAUCGCUCAGCGGAGCGGGAGCGAUGGCUUGUUCGCCGAUGAUAAACUGGACUCCUCUGUGUGACUAAUGAUCUAAUCAGAGCUGUAACACAGCGCGGCGGGGAAGAGGAGGAGGAAGGACCAAAAAUACCCGACACAAAUAUAGACGCUGCUUUACCGAAGCCGUCCAGGAGCAGAUGCUCAGAGGAAACUCACAGAUUCAGGGGUUUGAUGAAGAUAGUUCAACUUUCAGGGUGUUUAAAAAUCCUCUUUUUAUGUCUUCAGGCUUUUGUCAGUACUAGUGCAAACAUCAUUUAUCAUUACGCAUCCACCUGUGCCCCAAAUUAGGAGUACGCAUCUGUCAGAGUUAGCUGAAAAUAUCAUUCUAAAGGUCCUUACACACCGGGAACGACGCAAAUAUAUAACAAGAAAUUACGAAAUAUUCUGAGGCGAAUUAUGAUGCGCCUGACUAUUACAGUGAAAAUACUCAUGGUAUGUUGUAUCUGAACAGGUUAGCUUACGAGCUAAAGUUACUUAGCACAGAUGAAAGUUAAAACAAAGACGUUUAUCAAACUGUUAAAGCUCACAAACCAUCGUCAUAUGAGAAAUGCGACGCUAUGACUCUCCACAAGUCGUCCUUCAGGUCGUUAUCGUUGUAAUACACUCCUGAUCAAAAUCUUAAGACCGGUUGAAAAAUUGCAAGAAUGUAUAUUUAUCACUGUUGGACCUGAAGACGGUUCUUAGUAGAGCUUCAAAAUGUAAAAAGAAGAAAUGGGAACAAGAGACAAAAAGUGUUGAGCAGGUAAUUUAUUGAAAACAACAAUUUAACUGAACUAGUCGGUUCAUCAGCUGAUCUAAAGUUUAAGACCGCAGUCUUUAAAAGCCCAAAUCUGUGCGAAAGUUUGGAUUCCAUGUCAUUUCUUGUCGAGCAGUCUCACACUGUCAACAUCUCUUCAUUGCAGAAAAGCUCACAGCCUUUGAACAGUGUGGUCGGAUUGAUGAGCUGCAUAAACAAGGCCUCUUACAACGUGCCAUCGAUGCUGAGGUUGGACGCAGUGAGACAGUCAUUUUUCAUUUCUCAAAAGAUAUGAAGGAUUAUUGAACAAAAAAAUUAAGUGGUAGACCCCAAAAAAUCUCACCAGCGCUGACUGCAGCCUAAUAACAAUCAGACGACAUCUGCGAAGGAAGGGCUUCAAAAACAAAAAAACGUCUUUAAAGCGUCUCCCUCAACGCCACAAAACUGCCCGUUUGGACUUUGCAAGGGAGCACCAAACAUGGGACAUUCAAAGAUGGAAUUGACAGGAUACGGGUUCGAAAAAAAUAUUGAUGUCUGAAAUAAUCACACCAGAACAACGCUCCCGGUGUUUGAGGACCUUAAAGCUGCAAUAACACUCAAGUGGUUAUGACAUGAAAUUCUAGUAAAAAGCUUAAGACCACAACCACACAACGCCUUCAUCAUUCGCCUUGCAGAAACGUGCUGCCAUGCAUUGAGCGAAAGUUACACAACUUUAAAAAAGGGGGGAAAUCAUGCGCACAAACACAAAUUUAAUUUUGAGACCACUUCCUAAACUUCCCAAAACUUCUAUCUUCUGCGGAGCUUUGGAGUUGAGAUUUAAUCCUCGAGAUGGCUUCAAGAGUCAUUUGUUAAGCUCUGUGAAGUCUGCUUAACUGCAGCAGGAAGGAUAAGAGAAGUGAGAAUUAAAAAGUAGGGGGAAGUAGAUAAAAAAGGACGGGAGGAAGAGAGGGAAAUGAAAGGAGAGCUGAAAUAAGAGGUGUAGAGAAGAGGAGACUGUAGGACGGGAGGACAGAGGAAGUUGGUGUAGAUAAGGGAGGAAUUAGCAGAAGAAUAAAAGACGGAGGUUGAGGGAGAAGAAAGGAUGGACUGAGACAGUAAGUGGAGCAGUGCCCUCUUUAAAAACGGAAGAUAAUGAAAGGUUCGAGACAGAAGCUCACAGACAAAGAAGAAAGCAGAGAGACAGAAGGAAAGACGGCAGAGACUAUUCAUCUGUUUCCUCCUCCUUACAGUCAAACGGACACGACUUUGACCUCUUUUUAGGAAACCUCGCUGAUAUGAACCCUUUCAGACGGUCAGGGUGACAGCUGAUGCCCCACUAACCUGCUUCUUUCACGGACCUUCACUUCGGUAACACUGAGGGCCUCUCUCCUCUGCUUUAGAGUUUGUAUUGUUAAUAUUUUAAAGGACAAAAACAGACUUGGAUCCAUAAAUAUCAAAGAAAGCACAUUUAUUAAUUCACAGUCAUGGUCGGUUUGGGUCAGAAAAGCUGCUUCAAAAUAAAAAAAUCAACAUACUCUUAUUUAUUACAUCCUUAUGAUGUAUUCAGUUAUAAACAACCUCCAACUAGAGAGCUCUAAACAAUAAUAACAAGCUCAGAAAGUCACUUACUGGUCCUUUUUUUUAACCAAACAUCACAAGUCAUCUUUAAGACGAAUUCGCUUUGGCCGUAUCCCUGCUAGCCUAAACACACUUACUUAUCUUACACUUUCCAUUUUUACAAUUUCUCUCUUGCUCUUCCAGUUUGUAUCUUUUCAAAAUAAAAGCAUCUGCCUUUGUGAUACUAUUUACUUUUGGAGGAUCCUUUUAAAGUUAAAUGAACAACAGUAGAGUUUUAUCUGAGCCGUUAAACACAGGGGAAAAAAACUCAUCUUUAAUUUCAGAAUUUUAAUUAUUUUGAAAAUUGCUGUUUAAUAUUUUUAACUGUUUUUUUUUUACACCUCAAGUUGAAAGUAUUCGCUGGCGUCUCGUCUUCCCCUCACAGAUUUGUUUGCCGUGUGAAAACUUGAUAAAGCGUCUUUAACCGUGUGAGCAGAUGGAGCACAAACACAGACUGUCUUCUGUGUUUGAAUUAUUCAGUUUAAUCGAACCUGAUGUGUUUGGCAGCGACAUCUGGUCCGCGCUGCUACAGCUGCUGUUUGGUGGGACACACUGAUCGCAGGGCUGCUAAAAAAAAAAAAAAUAAGAACCUUUCUCAACGUCAGAAACACGAUCAGAUUUUCCUCAGAGGUAAUCUCAUUUAGGUGAGCGCUGGCUGAAAACAUUUUCUACUGAUGUGUUUAGAUAGACGCUCAGAGAGACACUUUGCAGCAUAGAUUAAUUUUUAUUUUAUUUUUCUGCAGGUAUGCCUCAUGAAUCACCAAGUCUCUUUUGGAGGAACAUUCAUGGUUACGGCACAGAUUAUAGGUCUGCAAACUUUAAAGACUUUACCUAAGAAGGCGGUGUUUGUGUCCUGGAUGAAACAGGAGCUCGGUUUUAUUUUUACCAGAACUGAGACAUAUCUCGUGGUUCACACGAGGAAAACAAAAGCUGAUGUCUGUUUUUUUUUUGUACUGAUGCUUGAAGAAAAAGAAAAUUAUGGUGACAACACAGUUUGGAUUCUGAGGCCUCCUGAAUGCCUCCCUUUGGAGGAGUUCCUGGUAUACUGGGUAGAUCUCGAGCUCCCUGACAGGGUUAUAUAAGACGAGUACACUGCACUCAUUCUCCAGCCUGGAAAUCCUGAGACUGUGGAAGUGAAAAAAGCCUCUGCGUUGUUUCUGAAGCCGACCUGCAAAACGAUUUGACUUAGCUCCUGUUGUGAUGUAAUCACAGGAGCUAUUUGAACAGGGAUGCAUGCUAUAUUUCUGCAAACAGUGUAAAAACAAACAGGCAAAUGAAGUGCUGAAAAUGACACAUGAACAGAGAUGAGUGCUUUACUCAGAUUCUCUCAACUUUAGCUAAAUUACGUGGUAGCAUACCUAGCUUCUUGUUUCUGUCGGCAGUUUCUCGUUUAAGGGUCCGAACUGGUAUCUAUUUCUGCUAACACGCUUAAAGGUGUUGUAGUCAGGAUCUGGGGAAGUUCCAGUUUUUAGGAGAAAUCUUGAGUCAAGUCAAGUCAAGUCAAGUUUAUUUGUAUAGCACAUUUCAGCAGCAGGGCAAUUCAAGGUGCUUUACAUGAAACAAGCAGGCAAAACAUUCAACACAAUUUAAAAAGUAAAAACAGCGUAAAAGACAUUUAACAGAUUAAAAGUUACAUUCAAAGCUAAAAUAAGAUUGGAGAUAAAAGAAAACAAAGGUUAGAUUGGAGAGAUAGAAAUGUAUGUAAACUCUACCCCUCCCAACUAGUUUUCCCCUCAGCUCCUCCUCUCCCCUCAAGCCCCGCCCACAAACAGACACUCCUGCUCGCUCGUAUCGUUCCGAUUAAAUUCAGAUAUAAUGCAGAUAAAUACUUCAGAUCAUUACAAAUGGGGCCCAGUCAAGGUGAAAGUCAAAAGCAUUGGUGCUACUGUAGAUGCCAACAGACUACCAGCAAACACAAUGUUUGCAGGACUUCUACAACUAGGAUAAAGUGACAUAGUCCAGGACCCGAGGGAGGACAGUUUAGCGAUGGCGCUACAACACGCUACAGCAGGUCCGUUUGACAAGAAACACUUCUGUUACAGACACUUGUCUUACUUUGUUAAAGCGGUUUACCUGUCCAGCAGAAAGGUUACAGGGUCACCAAGAUCCCCAAGCGUCCCCCAUCGUUUAUGUUGACCCGGCUUUUUAGCUCUUGUCCGGUCUACCUCAGUUUUAAGCGCCCGUUAUUCCUCCAGAGUCUCCGGUAUUUACUUUGUUUUCUUGCUUGUGUCGGCAGUCGAGGCCAAAGGAGGAUUCAGACAAUUUUCCGAACUUUCUGGUUGGUUUCUACUGUCCGAUAUUGUAGCAUGCUAACUUUGUUUGGGCUCCUGAACGACACGGGGGAGCAGCGUCUGCCUCACAACCAAUCAGGUUUGGGGAGGUAGAGAACGGCUUUGUUAAAAUAUUGACUACACAGAC